rfam:Cavia porcellus supercont2_17 genomic scaffold, whole genome shotgun sequence.
AACAUCAUCCAAAUGCUCACUUGAGGAGCACACACACUGCAGAGAGGACCAGCGCGGCCCCUGCACAAGGAUGACACAGAAAUUGAUGAAGUGCAUUCCAUUCUU